rnacentral:rRNA from 1 species
AACUGCGGAAGGACCAUUA